rnacentral:rRNA from 1 species
CCUACGGGGGACAGCAGUCGAGAAUCAUUCACAAUGGGGGAAACCCUGAUGGUGCGACGCCGCGUGGGGGAAUGAAGGUCUUCGGAUUGUAAACCCCUGUCAUGUGGGAGCAAAUUAAAAAGAUAGUACCACAAGAGGAAGAGACGGCUAACUCUGUGCCAGCAGCCGCGGUAAUACAGAGGUCUCAAGCGUUGUUCGGAAUCACUGGGCGUAAGGCGUGCGUAGGCUGUUUCGUAAGUCGUGUGUGAAAGGCGCGGGCUCAACCCGCGGACGGCACAUGAUACUGCGAGACUAGAGUAAUGGAGGGGGAACCGGAAUUCGCGGUGUAGCAGUGAAAUGCGUAGAUAUCGAGAGGAACACUCGUGGCGAAGGCGGGUUCCUGGACAUUAACUGACGCUGAGGCACGAAGGCCAGGGGAGCGAAAGGGAUUAGAUACCCGGGUAGUC